rnacentral:rRNA from 1 species
UACGUAGGGGGCGAGCGUGGUCCGGAUUUAUUGGGCGUAAAGAGCGUGUAGGCGGCCAGGUAGGUCUGCUGUGAAAACUCGAGGCUCAACCUCGAGACGUCGGCGGAAACCAUCUGGCUAGAGUCCGGAAGAGGAGAGUGGAAUUCCUGGUGUAGCGGUGAAAUGCGCAGAUAUCAGGAAGAACACCCGUGGCGAAGGCGGCUCUCUGGGACGGUACUGACGCUGAGACGCGAAAGCUAGGGGAGCAAACGGG